UACGUAGGGUGCGAGCGUUAAUCGGAAUUACUGGGCGUAAAGCGUGCGCAGGCGGUUAUAUAAGACAGAUGUGAAAUCCCCGGGCUCAACCUAGGAACUGCAUUUGAGACUGUAUGGCUAGAGUGCGGUAGAGGGGGGUAGAAUUCCGCGUGUAGCAGUGAAAUGCGUAGAUAUGUGGAGGAAUACCGAUGGCGAAGGCAGCCCCCUGGG
rnacentral:rRNA from 1 species